rnacentral:tRNA from 1 species
GCGGGUGUAACUCAGUUGGUAGAGUAUCAGCUUCCCAAGCUGGCUGUCGCGGGUUCGAGUCCCGUCACCCGCU